rnacentral:rRNA from 1 species
UUGGAGGGCAAGUCUGGUGCCAGCAGCCGCGGUAAUUCCAGCUCCAAUAGCGUAUAUUAAAGUUGUUGCAGUUAAAAAGCUCGUAGUUGAAUUUCGGGGUUCUACCGUUGGUCGGGCUUUGUCUGUACUGGUGUGUAGAAUUUCUACCUUCUGGGGAACCAUCAUGCUAUUAAUUUAGCGUGGUGGGAAACCAGGACCUUUACCUUGAAAAAAUUAGUGUGUUCAAAGCAGGCUUAUGCCUGAAUACAUUAGCGUGGAAUAAUAGAAUAGGACGGUGGUCCUGUUUUGUUGGUUUCUGAAUCACCGUAAUGAUUAAUAGGGAUAGUUGGGGGCAUUAGUAUUCAAUUGUCAGAGGUGAAAUUCUUGGAUUUAUUGAAGACUAACUUCUGCGAAAGCAUUUGCCAAGGAUGUUUUCAUUAAUCAAGAACGAAAGUUAGGGGAUCGAAGACGAUCAGAUACCGUCGUAGUCUUAACCAUAAACUAUGCCGACUAGGGAUCGGACGAUGUUAAUUUUUCUUGACUCGUUCGGCGCCUUACGGGAAAC